rnacentral:rRNA from 1 species
CCUACGGGUGGCUGCAGUCGAGAAUCUUCGGCAAUGGACGAAAGUCUGACCGAGCGACGCCGCGUGCGGGAUGAAGGUCUUCGGAUUGUAAACCGCUGUCGAGGGGAAUCAAAUGCUUGGGGGUACUCCCCCUUGUUUGAGAGAACCCUGGAGGAAGGGGAGGCUAAGCUCGUGCCAGCAGCCGCGGUAAGACGAGCUCCCCAAACGUUAUUCGGUAUCACUGGGCUUAAAGAGUUCGUAGGCGGUCUAGUAGGUGGGGUGUGAAAGCCCUCGGCUCAACCGAGGAACUGCGCUUCAAACCGCUAGACUUGAGGGAUAUAGGGGUAAGCGGAACAGAUGGUGGAGCGGUGAAAUGCAUUGAUAUCAUCUGGAACACCGGUGGCGAAAGCGGCUUACUGGGUAUUUUCUGACGCUGAGGAACGAAAGCUAGGGUAGCGAACGGGAUUAGAUACCCCGGUAGUC